rnacentral:lncRNA from 1 species
UAAGCUUUAAAUUAAAGAAGACAUUUCUAGUCAGAAACAAGCAAAAAUGGUGAAUGCAGAGUAUCAGAAGCCCAAGGUACAGAAAUCAUGAGAAGUGUCGAAUGAUUUUAAGGAAAGAGUCGUAUUUGAACAUGCAAGACUCUUUAGUGGAGGUCAAGCAAGUCAAUAUAGGUAGAAUCGCAAAAUUAUGCGAGUGAGGGGAUGUCAAACAAUGGGUCAGGAUAUGCGUUGUUUUUCUGCAAAACAAAAGCUGAUUGCCAUUACAUAAGUCACUUUAGCAUCAUGAGACUGCUGCUUGAUAAAUUCAGAAAUAACCCAAAAAACAAGACACGCAAAAAUAAAAAUACAAUUUAAUGAUGCUCUCUCCGCACUGGGAUAAAUAAAAACAAACACAUCACAUCUAAUGUGGACAUAUCAGACGCCUUGUGAAACGCUAAAGGAAAAAUUCAGUUUUGAGCUAUGGCACUUGCCGCAUAGAUGUGGGGAACCUUGCACUAAAAGUGAUAGUUACCACUGCAUUAAGGAAUUGAAAGCAUUCAUGCAGACAAGGAUGAUUCUUUAUAUUUUUGGCUACCACUUCAAAUGCCUCCACCAAGUGUUACAAUGCUGCACGCAGCCAUACUAAGGAUCUCGCAGCAACACCUGCAGGUAAAAAGCAGAAGCAGUCAAAGUGCUGGUGUGUACUGGACACUAUGUUUAAAAACUUUUAGGCAAGAAGAGUGCAAGAAGCAGACAUAACAACUGCAUUUAUUUCCAUAAUUCCCCAUCUAAAUGGCCUUUUCUUUUUGCUUAGACAAUGCCUACGCCUAGCCACAGCAGCUCCCUCAUACAGACUCCGCAAGCCAAGAGGCCGUGGAGGCAAAUACAGGCAGCCAGCACACCUCGAACAGCCACCUUGACUGCGGGUGUGUCAGUAGAUUCCUGUUGUACAUAUGCUCAUAAUAAACUUCAGUAAAUUUGAACUUGAUAAUAAACUUGAAGGCAAAUGGGA